GUUUCUUCCAACACAGUGUCAAUCUACCUGAUUAUGUUCUUUUCUAAUCAGUAAUCUUUGUUUUCUCUGUAGCUGCGGAACCUCCAGUUCAUGUGGGAGUUUUGCAAGGAGGCAGCAUCAACAAGAUGCAUCAACCAGUAAAUGGAAAUUUAAUAGAACACGCUUGUCAUUUCUAACUGGGAGCAAACUUCCUUGAAGAUCUCACAGAAUGCCAAGUAGUGCCCUUUUUAAAGGAUCGAUCACAGGAGAACAGCCUCGGUUAAGGAAAUUUCUUUUGGUUAACAGCCCAUGACCUUCACAAGAAAAUGCUUCAAUGCAAACUAGCUUCUCUGAUAACAAGAUUGUGAAGCCUUCAAGGACUAUGGCAAUGCUUUCUGGAAGAGAAAAGUGUUGCCUUGUUCAGAAACCAAUCAAAACCUGAAUGUACUGAGCAAAAAUAAACCAAGGUCAUCAUUAUUCCUUCUCAUUGUGCUUUUGAUUGGCUACAACUUGCUUAGCCUGUAUAUCUGAAAUAGCAACACUGCAUCUGGUAACUGAUGCCCCCCCAACAGUUUGAUCAGUGUGUGCUACUAAAUUGAAGAGGAAAUUAAAAAAAAUAUCAAAUUUGGACUAUCCUCAUAUUCUUUCAGUUCCAUUAAUGUGAAGUCCUGUAAAGCAUUAAUUUUCCCUAGCCAAUUCUAUUCUAAACACAAUCGUGAAGCAAUGUGUAUGUGUAUCUGUACACACAUGCACACAAACGUGCACACACCUUAUGUGGGUGUAUGAAGAAGUAAGUCUCAUUACGAGCCAACAUAGUGUAGUUGUUGAACACAGGACUCGCUAACUCGGAGACAAACCAAGAAAACAAAACAAUAAUAAACAAAGCAAAGACCUAUGAUAAAAAAGAACUUGCAUGCUGAAAGUCUGUUGAGUCGUUUCAUAUACAGGCAGUCCCUGACUUACAAAUAUCCAACUUAUAAACAACUCAUUGUUAAGAACGAUGGUGAGACAACAGGAAGUGAGAGAAAUCUAUCCCUAGGAAGGGAAAUUCAUCCCUGAAAGAGUUAUCAUGUGGAAAAGGUGUCUUACUGGAAGCUUUAUCACCAAUCCUUGCUUUCACAACAAACCAUUCUUUUCAAAAUCAAAUUAUCACAGGCAUAGAAAUUGAGGUAAAAUCUUUUGAACAGGGGCACAGACAGCAAAACAAACACCAUGGGGUGGGGGAGGAAUUAAUCCUUCCCUAAGCUAUCCAAAGCUAAAAGAUAGACGGAUGGAUGGAUGGAUUUGACUGGAGUUACACUGAAAAAAUGUACCUUUUAUGAUUUACGAACUAAUUCAAUUUAAGAACAAGCCUACAGAACCUAUCUUGUUUGUAACUUGGGUACUCCCUGUACUGCCUAAAAUAAUACUUAAAAGAAUUCCAAGCCUUUGCAUGUCAUUGGCAAUAAACUUGAUGUUCUGUUCAUCAGA